rnacentral:antisense_RNA from 1 species
GUGGGAGCUGGCUUGCCUGCGAUGGCGGUGGGUCAGCAUCUUAUAAGUGACUGAUGCACCGCAAUCGCAGGCAAGCCAGCUCCCAC